AGUGAAGCGGCAACAGCUCAAAUUUGAAAUCUGGCUUCGGCCCGAGUUGUAAUUUGUAGAGGAUGCUUUUGGUGAGGUGCCUUCUGAGUUCCCUGGAACGGGACGCCAGAGAGGGUGAGAGCCCCGUAUAGUCGGCCACCGAUCCUUUGUAAAGCUCCUUCGACGAGUCGAGUAGUUUGGGAAUGCUGCUCAAAAUGGGAGGUAUAUCUCUUCUAAAGCUAAAUAUAGGCCAGAGACCGAUAGCGCACAAGUAGAGUGAUCGAAAGAUGAAAAGCACUUUGAAAAGAGGGUUAAAUAGCACGUGAAAUUGUUGAAAGGGAAGCGCUUGUGACCAGACUUGUGCCGGGCUGAUCAUCCAGUGUUCUCACUGGUGCACUCGACCCGGCUCAGGCCAGCGUCGGUUUUCGUGGGGGGAUAAAAGCUUCGGGAACGUGGCACCUUCGGGUGUGUUAUAGCCCGUUGCUUAAUACCUCCGUGGAGACCGAGGUUCGCGCUCUGCAAGGACGCUGGCAUAAUGGUCAUCAGCGACCCGUCUUGAAACACGGACCAAGGAGUCGAGGUUUUGCGCGAGUGUUUGGGUGUAAAACCCGCACGCGUAAUGAAAGUGAACGUAGGUGAGAGCUUCGGCGCAUCAUCGACCGAUCCUGAUGUAUUCGGAUGGAUUUGAGUAAGAGCGUAAAGCCUCGGACCCGAAAGAUGGUGAACUAUGCCUGAAUAGGGUGAAGCCAGAGGAAACUCUGGUGGAGGCUCGCAGCGGUUCUGACGUGCAAAUCGAUCGUCAAAUUUGGGCAUGGGGGCGAAAGACUAAUCGAACCAUCUAGUAGCUGGUUACCGCCGAAGUUUCCCUCAGGAUAGCAGUGUUGUUCUUCAGUUUUAUGAGGUAAAGCGAAUGAUUAGGGACUCGGGGGCGCUAUAUAGCCUUCAUCCAUUCUCAAACUUUAAAUAUGUAAGAAGCCCUUGUUACUUAAUUGAACGUGGGCAUUCGAAUGUACCAACACUAGUGGGCCAUUUUUGGUAAGCAGAACUGGCGAUGCGGGAUGAACCGAACGCGGGGUUAAGGUGCCAGAGUGGACGCUCAUCAGACACCACAAAAGGCGUUAGUACAUCUUGACAGCAGGACGGUGGCCAUGGAAGUCGGAAUCCGCUAAGGACUGUGUAACAACUCACCUGCCGAAUGUACUAGCCCUGAAAAUGGAUGGCGCUCAAGCGUCCCACCCAUACCCCGCCGUCAGGGUAGAAACGAUGCCCUGACGAGUAGG
rnacentral:rRNA from 1 species